ensembl:rRNA 5S_rRNA 5S ribosomal RNA
GCUGGCAGCUGGCUCUCUGCAGCUCUCACAUGGUCGCCCACUGAAGCCAAGCAGGGCUGCACUCGGUCAGUAUCUGAAUGGGAGAUCAUUUGGGAAACCUAGGUUGCUGCCAGAA